rnacentral:rRNA from 1 species
GACGAACGCUGGCGGCGCGCCUAACACAUGCAAGUCGAACGAGCGAGAGAGAGCUUGCUUUCUCGAGCGAGUGGCGAACGGGUGAGUAACGCGUGAGGAACCUGCCUCAAAGAGGGGGACAACAGUUGGAAACGACUGCUAAUACCGCAUAAGCGCACGGGAUCGCAUGAUCCUGUGUGAAAAACUCCGGUGGUACAGGAUGGACCCGCGUCUGAUUAGCUGGUUGGUGAGGUAACGGCCCACCAAGGCAACGAUCAGUAGCCGGCCUGAGAGGGUGAACGGCCACAUUGGGACUGAGACACGGCCCAAACUCCUACGGGAGGCAGCAGUGGGGAAUAUUGCACAAUGGGGGGAAACCCUGAUGCAGCGACGCCGCGUGAGUGAAGAAGUAUUUCGGUAUGUAAAGCUCUAUCAGCAGGGAAGAAAAUGACGGUACCUGACUAAGAAGCCCCGGCUAACUACGUG